AAUUUAUACGGCAUAACGAAGUCGUAUUUAGCUUGUAUUCUACGUGAGAGGCGUAUUUCAGAUCGAGAAAUCCCAAAUCCCUAAUAACCUAAUCCCCUUUCCCUCCGCUCUUUCUUCUUCUGGCGUCCUUGCUGCUCGAAAGAUUCUCGCUCGAUUUAGGUCUUUGAUUUCCCCGAUUCAUCUGCCGGUGCCAGAUAUGGCCUGUGUCGACAUCCAUGGCAUGAGUGUGACGCUCACGAUGCCCGACCAGCUGUCGCACUCCGGGAAGAAGAGAGCCGCCGACGAGGAUCUCGUCCUCGCCGACGAGUCCGAGGCCCGUGGAUGGUCCUCGGCGGUCUCGGACCGCAGGCUCGUCCUGCGCCGCCGGCGAGGUCCGGUUUCCUCUUCCUGCUGCCGCGGCUGCAUCAUGGUGACGGAGGCACCGGACUGCCGUGCCGAGGAGGCGGUCGAAGGCGCCCAGCUAGCUGCACCGGAGAGCAAGGCUUCCUCUGUUGAGGAGCUGGUCUGCUGGACAGUACUCUAAUCCAACAAUCCAACCAUCCAAAAUCGCCAGGCCUGCUUGUGCAAAUGUCUGAAAAAGGUUCAAUGUUUCUGCUCCCGUUGUGUCCAUCUAUUGCAGAGUCCUUUCUUUCUAGACCAUAUGAAUAACCUCUUUUCUCUUCUUUUUUAUGUCAAUGUCGGAGCACCUUGGGGUUUCGAGCAGGCGACGCUACAAGAAGUUGAGGAGGCGUCAUAUGAAGUAAUCAAAUUACAAGUCAAGAGGCCAGAUGUGCUGGAAUGUCAGUUUAGCUAUUAUGUCAUGUCAGUUAGUACUCCCUCUGUAAACUUUUAUAAGAUCCUUACUUUAGUGAUCUAAACAAUCUUAUAAAAGUUUACGAAGGGAGUACUUAGUACUAGUUGUUUCCUGUAAUAUCGUGGCUCACGGCAGUAUGUAAGCCGGAGAGUGGGUGGAGGGCGGCACGAUAUGAAUAAAACCAUAAAUUUCCCUAUCUUGCAUUGUUUCCUUAGCUUCAUGUUUUCUGCUCUCGUCUUCAUGCCUUGGCAUGAUAUCAACAGUUCAUCGACCAAAAAACUCUCCUUUCGC
rnacentral:rRNA from 1 species